rnacentral:tmRNA from 1 species
GGGGUCGACCAGGUUUCGACGGGAUGAUCCAGAGAUAUAACUUCAAGCCGACUGGUAGUCGUAAAUCACCAAAAGUCAAGUAAUUGACAACUAUGUAAUGCCCCUGGCUGCUUAAGUGCUGCCAGCGUUCCCUCAUGGACUCCGAUAGUGAGAUCGAACGCCGUUUCGGAUAGGUUUCUGCAACAGGUUUGACCGAAUUCAAGCCGGACCACCUCUAGUAGCGGUAUAGCUCAUCCUACAGCUCUGUUGGUCGAGCAACAAGGAUUAUAUAGAUCAACUAAGCUUGUAAACGUGUAUUGAAAGACGUUUCGGACGGGAGUUCGAUUCUCCCCGGCUCCACAC